rnacentral:lncRNA from 1 species
ACUUACAAGAUAUACCAAUGUAUCAGUUUGUGUACCUGGUAUUUGGAAAAGCAAAGAAGAGGAAGAUCAGUAGAAGCAACAAUAGUGUAAGCAGCGACACAACAACACAGGUUCAGCAACAUAAAAGACCCAAUAGCAAACAGUAGCAGAAAUCCUAGGAAUGAUUUAAAACCAAACAGGAAAACCCCGAAACUUUCAAACCAACAGAAAACAAAGACACUCAACUGAAACAGUGUUCAAACCCCAACAGAAAAGCCCAGUAGCAGAUUCCACCACCAAGCAGUACCAAAUGAUAAUCACAGACAAAGAGAAGAGAGGCAGCCACAAAAGAAGCAUCACUUUCAGUUUAUGAACUCUCAAAAACUAACUGACUUCUCGAUGAAAAGGUCAUCCUAUAUUUGCUUCCUAACUUUGAAACCUUAGUGUAAGUUUC